CUACCAUGUAAUGAAGAUGGUCGGUAUAGGUAACCGGUCCUAUCUACCAUGUAAUGAAGAUGGUCGGUAUAGGUAACCGGUCCAAUCUACCAUGUAAUGAAGAUGGUCAUAUAGGUAACCGUCCAAUCUACCAUGUAAUGAAGAUGGUCGGUAUAGGUAACCUGUCCAAUCUACCAUGUAAUGAAGAUGGUCGGUAUAGGUAACCGGUCCUAUCUACCAUGUAACGAAGAUGGUCGGUAUAGGUAACCUGUCCAAUCUACUAUGUAACGAAGAUGGUCGGUAUAGGUAACCUGUCCAAUCUACCAUGUAAUGAAGAUGGUCGGUAUAGGUAACCGGUCCAAUCUACCAUGUAAUGAAGAUGGUCGGUAUAGGUAACCUGUCCAAUCUAACAUGUAAUGAUGAUGGUCAGCAUCCGGUCGAGGUGACCAUGUAUCUGCAUCUUAUUGCAUAACUAUUUGCUAGACACAGAGAGCAUAAUGUUAGAUUGAGUUACAAUUAAUGACUUUCCAGCCAUAGAUCACCCCAAUAUAAUCCCGUAUAAUAAGCUCAUCCACAGGCAGUGAAUACAUUGCCUACAGUAUACCGUCAUGUACCUAGAGUUAGGGUGGGUUCUACAGAAAACCAACACUUGUAUAUCUAUCAUAAAAGAAGAUACAGUGUGAUUAUAUGGCAAAACUUUUGAUCUUGUAGAAAUACAUAGAUUGAAUACAUUAUUCUUGAAGCUGAAGUCAGAAGUGAUUUGUUCCCACUUUAGAUAUAGAUAUUGAAAGGUUACUGAUCC